rnacentral:rRNA from 1 species
UAGAACGCUGAAGAGAGGAGCUUGCUCUUCUUGGAUGAGUUGCGAACGGGUGAGUAACGCGUAGGUAACCUGCCUUGUAGCGGGGGAUAACUAUUGGAAACGAUAGCUAAUACCGCAUAACAAUGGAUGACACAUGUCAUUUAUUUGAAAGGGGCAAUUGCUCCACUACAAGAUGGACCUGCGUUGUAUUAGCUAGUAGGUGAGGUAACGGCUCACCUAGGCGACGAUACAUAGCCGACCUGAGAGGGUGAUCGGCCACACUGGGACUGAGACACGGCCCAGACUCCUACGGGAGGCAGCAGUAGGGAAUCUUCGGCAAUGGGGGCAACCCUGACCGAGCAACGCCGCGUGAGUGAAGAAGGUUUUCGGAUCGUAAAGCUCUGUUGUAAGUCAAGAACGAGUGUGAGAGUGGAAAGUUCACACUGUGACGGUAGCUUACCAGAAAGGGACGGCUAACUACGUGCCAGCAGCCGCGGUAAUACGUAGGUCCCGAGCGUUGUCCGGAUUUAUUGGGCGUAAAGCGAGCGCAGGCGGUUUGAUAAGUCUGAAGUUAAAGGCUGUGGCUCAACCAUAGUUCGCUUUGGAAACUGUCAAACUUGAGUGCAGAAGGGGAGAGUGGAAUUCCAUGUGUAGCGGUGAAAUGCGUAGAUAUAUGGAGGAACACCGGUGGCGAAAGCGGCUCUCUGGUCUGUAACUGACGCUGAGGCUCGAAAGCGUGGGGAGCGAACAGGAUUAGAUACCCUGGUAGUCCACGCCGUAAACGAUGAGUGCUAGGUGUUGGAUCCUUUCCGGGAUUCAGUGCCGCAGCUAACGCAUUAAGCACUCCGCCUGGGGAGUACGACCGCAAGGUUGAAACUCAAAGGAAUUGACGGGGGCCCGCACAAGCGGUGGAGCAUGUGGUUUAAUUCGAAGCAACGCGAAGAACCUUACCAGGUCUUGACAUCCCGAUGCUAUUUCUAGAGAUAGAAAGUUACUUCGGUACAUCGGUGACAGGUGGUGCAUGGUUGUCGUCAGCUCGUGUCGUGAGAUGUUGGGUUAAGUCCCGCAACGAGCGCAACCCCUAUUGUUAGUUGCCAUCAUUCAGUUGGGCACUCUAGCGAGACUGCCGGUAAUAAACCGGAGGAAGGUGGGGAUGACGUCAAAUCAUCAUGCCCCUUAUGACCUGGGCUACACACGUGCUACAAUGGUUGGUACAACGAGUUGCGAGUCGGUGACGGCAAGCUAAUCUCUUAAAGCCAAUCUCAGUUCGGAUUGUAGGCUGCAACUCGCCUACAUGAAGUCGGAAUCGCUAGUAAUCGCGGAUCAGCACGCCGCGGUGAAUACGUUCCCGGGCCUUGUACACACCGCCCGUCACACCACGAGAGUUUGUAACACCCGAAGUCGGUGAGGUAACCUUUUGGA